rnacentral:rRNA from 1 species
AGAGACAGCAGCCGCCACGGUAAUACGUAGGUGGCGAGCGUUGUCCGGAAUUAUUGGGCGUAAAGGGAGCGCAGGCGGACAUAUAAGUCCAUCUUAAAAGUGCGGGGCUCAACCCCGUGAGGGGAUGGAAACUGUAUGCCUUGAGUGCAGGAGAGGAAAGCGGAAUUCCCAGUGUAGCGGUGAAAUGCGUAGAUAUAUGGAGGAACACCGGUGGCGAAAGCGGCUCUCUGGCUUGUAACUGACGCUGAGGCUCGAAAGCCAGGGGAGCGGACGGGAUUAGAUACCCCAGUAGUCCCUGUCUCUUAUACA